UUAUGUGACUGCAGAGAGGAGGACAGAGGACAGUGGACACACACUUUAACAUGAUGGACUAUAGGACAGGAGCUUCAUCAUCAGCCAUGUUCUCUGUAGCUCUGCUGCUGCUGGCUGCUGGAUCCUGUGUGAAGUGUGAAACGCUGACUCAGCCAGCCUCUAUGACUGUGCAGCCAGGUCAGAGUCUGACCAUCACCUGUCAGGUCUCUUAUUCUGUUAACAGCUACUACACAGCUUGGAUCAGACAGCCUGCAGGGAAAGGACUGGAGUGGAUUGGGAUGAGAGCAAGCAGUACUUCAUUCUACAAAGAUUCACUGAAGAACAAGUUCAGCAUCGACUUGGACUCCUCCAGAAACACAGUGACUCUAAACGGACAGAACAUGCAGCCUGGAGACUCUGCAGUGUAUUACUGUGCCAGGAAAGCCACAGUGAGAGACAAUAACAGGAGAGUCGUACAAAAACUACUUCCUCUAUCUUCAACCAUCACUGAGCGUUCAGUCUCUUUAGUCCUGAGUCUUCACUGAUGGUGAGAAACUGUGGAUGAUGAAAAUCUGAGUCCUGAG